GCUGCGCUCCCUGCCACCGCCCCGCCGUCCCCGUCUCCCCGCUUGGGCACGGGGCUGUGCGCGACGCAGUGGACGGGUGCGGGGCUCAGCGAGGGACUCCCGGGUCCAUAGAGAUCUGGGGAGGGUGGGGGGAGCAAGGACGAGUGCCUGCCGGGACCCCCCUGGCUCCUCGCUCCCAAGGAGUCGAGGGGAACGUCUCUACCGCGCUGCAAAGCCAGCAGGCAUUUGCUAGGCCCUUAGGAGGUCAGGCAACUUGCACUGUGGCACAUGAAGAAUAUUCACAUACUUCAUAUCCUGCAGGAGAAAGGAGACAGCACAAGAAAUUCUGUUGUCACUAAUUGAAAGUAGUUUAUCACUUUAUCUUUAGAAGGUCUAAUGCCAAAACUUCAAGGAGAUAAUAAAUAGUCCAGUCUGGGUUUGAGCCUGGAGUUUGGAUGUCUAAGAUGACUCCGAGCGGAUGUGGAUUUACGUGUUAGUACCUGAAAGUGGGCACAGCCCCCACCUUGGAAUGAAUGUACACUUCCAAAGGACUCGUUCCCACAGGGUGGUGGAAGGAACAACAGAGACAGCUAUGUGCCCACAUGCUCAGCCAUCUGCCAUUCCAACCACAUGUCUCUCCCCCCGUUUCCUGCAAAUGAUUCAUCUAUUCUUUUUCUCCUUCUUCAAAGAUAACUCUGUAAGCACUUAAGGAGGGGAAAGUCAUUAAGAAAAGUGGAAUCUGGAGUUAUUAGGAUGAGAUAGAGCAGAUUAAACAGUCUGGAAUUUCACAAAGCAAACAGCACAGGGUGCGGACCCUGGGCCCGUCUCUCUCCUGCUGGUGCAUCAUUUCACAGGUUAUCAUCCUUCAUGAACAGGUCAACAAAAAUGGCCACAGGUAAACAUGAGCAUAUGAGUUGCUAAAGAGAAAGAAAGACAGAGAACAGCAGAAGUCAGGAGGAUUCUGGAUUUUCCAACUGGAGCCUCUGUGCAUCUUAUCCAGCAUCACAGACAGUGUCUGUCGCUAAGUGAUGCCAAAGGUUUUACACCAAUGAAUGGGAUCUUUGUGACGUUUUCCCAAUAACAGACCAAAAAGCUGCCACUAAAAUCAUGCUUUUAAAGGAGAUCCUGAACAAUAGCCAGUGAAGGUGAUUAUGGCCAUGUCCCCAUGUCCAUGAGGAGGUGCUUGGUGGGUAUUUGUUGAAUUGCAUCAAACUGGAGUUGGAUGGGACUCAGUUCAAAUCCUGACUCUGCUUCCAGCUUCUGGUACAUUAGGCAAGUUGCUAAACCUCUGGGCUUAGGGGAUAAAGACACUACCUCACAGGGUGGAGUGAGGAGUAGAAGAUAAUAUACGUGAAGUACUUCAUGUGGUCUUUGGAAAGAGGUAGAUAGAUAGGCAAAUAUCAGGUGAUUACAAAUACUCCUUAUAAUUUCACUUCAGUUUGUACCGCAUCUCACACCCUGAAGCUAGCAGGGUAAAGAGCUCUCAGGAGAAUGAAGAGGCCUCUGGCCCAUUCUAGUAUGGUCUCUCCCAUCAGGAGGGGAAAGGCAAAUAUUGCAUGGGACCUGGCAAUAAGAUUGAAUGAGACAUAAGCAAAGUCUGAUCGCAUCCUUAUCCCCACCCCUUAACAGCCACUAUAUCCCUUGAGGCAAGUGAAGGGCCCCAGAAGUGAGGGAUCUUAUUGCUAAGUAGAUCAGACAGAGUUCUUAAAGAUUCUAAUAUGUUGCCUGUAUUGUCUCAUCUGUAAAAUGGGUGUUAAAAUAGCACUCAUAUCUUGGGUUAUGAAGAUGAAAGAAGAUAAUCUAUGUAAAGGACUGAGCACAGGGCCUGGGACAGUUAGUGAUAGAUACAUGUUAGCUACUGUUGCUAUUUUGUAUUCCAUGUUCAAUCUAUGAUAUUGAUUAACCUGUUUAUUGAUUGCUGGAUUUUCAUUUAGUAAAUUAAUUUUCAAUAAAUGAUUUUCACUUAAGCA
ensembl:lncRNA novel transcript